rnacentral:misc_RNA from 1 species
UGCAGAUGUUCGCAAGACUGUUGUGUUCUGUUUAGUUGACAUAUACAUCAUGCUGGGCAAAGCAUUUUUGCCAUACUUGGAAGGGCUAAACAGCACACAGUUGAGAUUGGUGACUAUUUAUGCAAAUAGAAUAUCGCAGGCUAGAACAGGGACUCCCAUAGAUGCUAACCGCAGUUAGCUGGUGUGCUAGCUUCUUUGAGGGGAUUUCCUUGUAGGUUUGUUUAUGAGAGAUUUUAAUGUUUUCAUGUGUCGUGUAUAUCGUGUGAAUGUGCAUUUUGAAAGUUGUAUUCUUUUAUUCAACUGUGUGUUCAUAUUUUUUCCUCCCGCAUGGGAGUUGGAGAGUGCGUG